GUAAAAGCAGAGAUUUUACCUCGUACCUUUUGCAUCAUGAUUUAGCAAGUACUACCAAGCAAAAAGCACUUUAGUUUGCCUCCCCGAAACCAAGUGAGUUACUCCAAGACAACCUAAAAUUAGGGUAAACCCGUCUCUGUGGCAAAAGAGUGGGAAGAGCUUCGAGUAGAGGUGAUAUACCUAUCGAACUUGGCAAUAGCUGGUUGCUUGAGAAAUGAAUAGAAGUUCUGCCUCUUAUAUUCUCCCUCCCAAUGCCGGUUUCUCCCAUAACCGUUCCCAUAGAUAACAGAAAAUAAGAAAGUCAAUCAAAGGGGGUACAGCCCCUUUGAAACAUGGUACAGCUAUUCCAGGAGGGUACAGAUCAUAAUCAUUAAGGUAGGCAUAUUUAAGUGGGCCUAAAAGCAGCCACCCUGAAAGAAAGCGUUAUAGCUCUAAUAUACCUCACACCCUAAAUCCCGAUAACUAAUCCCAACCCCCUAAUAAUAUCAAGCCCCUCCAUGCAAAUAUGCAAACAUGGAAACGACUAUGCUAAAAUGAGUAAUUAGAGAGAUAAAGCCUCUCUCCCUGUACAAGUGUAAAUCGAAAUGGACUAACCACCGAAACUUAACGGCCCCAAAUAACAGCGGGCACUGAGUAAUGUUCCCAGAAGCAAGAAAAUUACCCAAAAACUUCACCGUUAACCCUACACUGGUGUACUUAAAAGGAAAGGCUAAAAGGAAGAGAAGGAACUCGGCAAAUACUACUAAGCCUCGCCUGUUUACCAAAAACAUCGCCUCUUGCCCAACUUCAUAUAAGAGGUCCCGCCUGCCCUGUGACCCCCUGUUCAACGGCCGCGGUAUUUUGACCGUGCGAAGGUAGCGCAAUCACUUGUCCCUUAAAUGAGGACCUGUAUGAAUGGCACAACGAGGGCUUAACUGUCUCCUCUCCCUAGCCCAUGAAAUUGAUCUUCCCGUGCAGAAGCGGGAAUCCUAGCAUAAGACGAGAAGACCCUAUGGAGCUUUAGACUUCAAGGCAGAUUAUGUCAGCUAUUUUUCUUAAACUAUUACUAAUUAUUAAACCACUGCCUCCUGUCUUUGGUUGGGGCGACCACGGAGAACAAAAAAACCCCCACGUGGAUAAGAAGUACACUUUACUUCCACAACUAUGAGCCACCGCUCUAACGCGCAGAACCUCUGACCUUCUGAUCCGGCAAAGCCGAUCAACGGACCGAGUUACCCUAGGGAUAACAGCGCAAUCCCCUUCAAGAGUCCCUAUCGACAAGGGGGUUUACGACCUCGAUGUUGGAUCAAGACAUCCUAAUGGUGCAGCCGCUAUUAAGGGUUCGUUUGUUCAACGAUUAAAGUCUU
rnacentral:rRNA from 1 species